CUCGUCCCCUUCCUAGAAAAAAACUAGUCUACUGUUCCCCUCACUCUCUCCACUUCCCAUCCAAAUCCUGAUCUCGCCGGUGUCAACCCCCCUCCCUCCCACCACCCUCGCCCCCACAGCCGCCACAACCGGCGACCUCGUCUCUCACAGCGAGCCCCUGUCAUCCCCUUCCCUCUCCUCAUCACGCCAAGGUCGUCGUGAAGGGGGAGAUCGAGUGACCAGGCGGUGGCUAGAUCCGACCACAAACGGCGACCAACAUCACGCCAAGGUCGCCAGCGCCAUCGUCGAAGGGUGGGCUUCUUCUACCUCGACGGACGUGCUCGCGCGCGAGGAAAGGAGAGGAGAGGGGGUCUUUUGCUUCUUCCUCGCUCAGCGCCCCUCUCAUCACACCAUGGAUCGACCUUCCUCUGCUCACACACACGCCAUGGACCGAGCUCGCUCCCCUCCUCAAGAUCGAGACCUCCAUGUGCUUCUGCUCGGCCGCGUCCUCUCCACCUCAACAUCUCCUCGGGGAAGAACAAGUGACACCGUCGAUCCGAAGCUCAUGCCAGGGGGAGGGAUCCCCUCACUGCCUUCUAAUUCAAGUUAGUAGCCAAUAUUUUCAAUGGCGGCGGCGGUUGUAUGUGGCGUCGACUACAACCUCCUCUCCGGACUGAAGAUCCACAAGAAAGAUGGCACAUCAUCGGAGAAACAGAUGGCUUUGCCAAAUGGUGAACUCACCUCCGAGCGAUCAAGGCGAGGCUGGCAGGUCGAUGAUAAACUCAUGUGACCUCCAUGCAAGGAUAGACCGUGAUGGGCGUGGUUGACAAUACACUCGCGAUUGCUACUACAGGCGAUCUCCCAGCAGGAUGGCCCAAUGAUCUCUCGUCUGUGCUUGACGGUGAGCACUUGAGGCAGGGGUGUUCGUGAAUGACCAACCCUAUAACAGAAACGUACGUACUACUUAAAUACGUACUUCUACCAAAUAUGGUGGAGAUGUUUGAGGGCAUUAUCAAUCUUGUCGGGCUUUCCAUAUCUUUGUGCCUGAUGUUUAGUAUGUAAUAAUUAGGCUAAUUACUGUUAAGAUCCUAUGGUUUUUUCCAUAUAUAUUACUUGUGCACUACGAGGGUGGGAGGAAGGUGAUACAUCUUCAAUGUAUCUAUAAUUAUGAAGUAUUCAUGCUAUUAUACUAUCUGUUUUGGAUGUUGAAUGGGCUUUACUAUA